GACGAACGCUGGCGGCGUGCUUAACACAUGCAAGUCGAACGGUAAGGCCCUUCGGGGUACACGAGUGGCGAACGGGUGAGUAACACGUGGGUGAUCUGCCCUGCACUUCGGGAUAAGCCUGGGAAACUGGGUCUAAUACCGGAUAGGACCACUGCCUGCAUGGGUGGUGGUGGAAAGCUUUUGCGGUGUGGGAUGGGCCCGCGGCCUAUCAGCUUGUUGGUGGGGUGAUGGCCUACCAAGGCGACGACGGGUAGCCGGCCUGAGAGGGUGAUCGGCCACACUGGGACUGAGGUACGGCCCAGACUCCUACGGGAGGCAGCAGUGGGGAAUAUUGCACAAUGGGCGCAAGCCUGAUGCAGCGACGCCGCGUGAGGGAUGACGGCCUUCGGGUUGUAAACCUCUUUCAGCACCGACGAAGCGCAAGCGACGGUAGGUGCAGAAGAAGGACCGGCCAACUACGUGCCAGCCGCCGCAGUAA
rnacentral:rRNA from 1 species